ensembl:lncRNA
GCUGAACUAUGACAGCGGUGAAGCUCACGAACCGUUUCAGCACAGCCUCCCCUGAACGCGCCGGGAGCGCUGCCUGUGCUGCCCAAAGACAGACGGCAAGAAAGCCCGAGCUCACCGCCGCCACCCGCGAGGUGAGGAGGUGCGGGGCGGACCCGACGGCUCCGCGUGAGGCGCUGCCAUGGCGGCCUGCCCGCCGGGAGCCGUUACCAGGGCAACGCGCGUGAGAUUUCUAUAAUAAGAGCAGCAUCCUUGAAAUAGGGGCGCGAGUUCAAAACAGUGACAAAUCCGGUGUCCUCAGAAAACCUGUGCCCAAACACAGACAGAGUAGGAGGACACCUCCCCAAGUGACCACUGAAGACCCCCACGCAAGUGCAGAAGACUCGGGCAACAGAUUUGAAGGAGGAGGUGGAAUACAGAGCUUUGAUGAUGCCUUCUACAUUGACUGAUUCCUCCAGACAGACAUGUGGCAGUUAUGAUGGACAGGAACAUGUAAAUCUUCACUGAGUAUGAAUUAACAAUUAGAAAAUAAAGGAGUGAAACAAACAAGAGGAGAAGACAAAAAUGUAUAAAGUACGAGUGGAGAGGCAGCAGGAAGAACGCACAUCUUGAGCAUAAAGAUCUGAUGCUGAUAAGUCAAGAUUUGGAAGGACCUCCUUGAGUCACUGGAGGGCUGACUGUUGUGGGAGCAUCAAGAAAAGCUGAGCCAGCAAAAGUUUCAAGGUCCUGAAGAGUUUUGCACCUGGCCCACCACAUCAGUGCUGCACUUGUGCCUGAUCACCAGGGACAAUUGUGUUCCUGUUUCCAUUGUGCAGUCAUGCAGAAAACAUCUCUCAUCCGAGCUCGAAGCGGUGGCGUGAGUUACACAUUGGUGGUGUGAGUCACACAUUACAGGCUGGCGUCAGCCACUUCCAGGAAGGAGGGCAGACAUGGCAGCAGGACUGGUGGAAUGGGGUGGCGCCUCUCUCCAGAAUGUUAGCAUGUUGCUGAAAUCACAUGAGAACAACAAUCUGGAAUUGGCUCUAGGAUUUGAUCACACGAGAACACAGUGAUAGGUCAGCUGUCAUGACCUACUUAGCUUUCUGGAAGGAGUGCUGCAGUCUCCUGAUGAUGGUAAAGCCCUUGUACAGGCUGAACAAGUCCAGUUCCUUCAGCCUUUCUUCAUAGGAGAGGUGCUCCAGCACUUGGAUCAUCUUCAUGGCCCUCCUCUCAACCCUCUCCCAAAGCUCCACGUCUUUCCUGUAGUGGGAGCACCAGAAUUGGACUCAGUACUCCUGCUGGGGCCUCACGAGGGCAGAAUAGAGAGGGACAAUCACUUCUGUUGCCCUGCUGGCCACGCCUCUUCUGAUGGAACCCAGAAUACCAUUGGCCUUCUGGGCUACAACUGCACACUGCUGGCUCAUGUUAAGUUUUUCAUCAACCAGGAUCUCUAAGUCCUUCUCAGCAAGGCUACUCUCAAGGAAUUCUUCUCUCAGUUUGUAUACAUAUCUGGGAUUACCUUGACCCAAGUGCAAAACAUUGCACUUUGUUUUGCUGAACUUCAUUAGGUUUAUAAGUGUCCACCUUUUGAGUUUAUGAAGGUCACUCUGGAUAGCAUCCCUUCCUCCUGCUAUACCAUCUGCUGUCUGUAUGUUUAAAAUUCAGUCAGGUUUGGGACAGAUUAAGUUAUCUUCGCAAUACAGCAUACAUGCGGUGUAAAACUGUCAACGGUUUAAGGGCUGGUCUGGCCCGGUUCCGCGACUAGUGGGGUGGAGGGAUUUUGCAAAAUCCACACCUUCAGGAAGGGAAACAGGGGACCCCAAAAUAAUUAAAAACAGCGGCAACGAUCUGAGGAGAAACAAACUAAUUUACUAAAUAUAGUAUCGGAAUGUAAGAUAACACACUAUAAUACAAUAUAAAUCAACAAUAAUUGAGAGAAAGAUUGUCCAAGAGCCAAAGGCCUUACACUAAUACUGAAGCCUUGCGUGCAGUCGGGAUCAGCAGUAGCGAGCUGAUCCGACAGGGAACACGGCGAGACGAGAAGAGGGCCGAGUCAGAUGACCUGCGCCCUUAUAUUUGUUCCCUUGAGCAGGAAUGAUAGCAGUACUCGAAAAGGCUCUUGGGGACCGUAGUUCUUCUUCUCUUCCAGACAGGUACCCGGAACUAAAGCAUUUGCUCUUUAACUCCCAAUACACUACAUGAUGUUGUGAUGUGGAAUACUGAUAACCAAAAAUCAUAAAACCAUGACAAGAACACAGCACAAUGGCUUAGGGUAGGCAAGAGGAAUCAUGAGUUAAUCAAAUCUAAUUACACAAACUUGAGUUUGGACAAAACAUAUGGUUUAAAAAACCAUCCCAGCAACAAGAAAGAUGUCUCAACAUCUGGAAGUACAAACUUAUUAGUUGUCAAGUUCUACAAACCAUUUAAAACACCAGACACGUUGAAGAAUAAAUCAACAAAUUCCAUUUAUAGUGUUCAAAUAUACUAAGCAAGUGCUUGUAAUAUGCUUGUACAUGUAGUAUUCAUGACAGAAUACAGUAUUUUUCUUUCCUGCCAUGACCCAUAUUCAUUGUUGUUGCCUAGGAAACGGUAGAUAAAAACAACAAAAGAGGAAUAUUUCACUGAGCAUCCUACAUUGUUUUAGAGGCCUUUUGCAGAUAGGUGAAUAAAGAGCUACCAUUCAAUUUUAUUCAAAAAUGUAAACCCCAUAAUUUGAGUAGUAGAGUCUGGUGGUUAACCAUCAGAUGAUUGAUGUUCUGAGUAUGACUCAGUCUGACUUGCAGUGACUAUCAGGAAGUCAUCUAGCCUAAUUCUCAUGCUAAUAUUAUUUUUUUUCAUGGUAGCCUAUAAAAGGUUCUGUUACAGAACUGAUACUAUGUUCUUUCUUCAAAGUGCAAGAACUUACAUUUAUUUUGCAAUGUGUUAACCAAGACAACUGAAAUAUGCAAAUGAUAAAAAUAAUCUGCUUAAUGAUUGACUCAAUUGUAAUUUCUCAUAUGCAUUCUUCCAGAUAUGAAUGUCUCACCAUUGUUAUAUCAAAAGUUGUAUGUUACUAUAACAAAAUGUUAUGUCAAACGAUCAUACUGGAGGAGACAUUUGGAAUAGAAUCAUAGAAUGAUAUAAUGGUUUGGGUUGGAAGGGACCUUUAAGAUCAUCUAGUUCCAACUCCCCUUCUAUAAGCAGGGACACCUCUCACAGGAAAGAUGCUGUUCUGUAUUUUAGGAACUUUUUUCUUUCUUGUAAAAAUAGAAUUUACUUCAAGCAUGACAAAUCUAACAUGUCAACUCUGACUGAAGCACCACAUAUUCACUAAUAUUUAACAGGCACAUGCUUUCUAAGAAAUCACUUGUUCACUGAGUCACACUUCUCAAGUAAACAUGGGUAAAAAAAUCUGGCUGCAGCAAGAGUUUACAGCUCCUGCCUCUGCAUCAUAGAUAAUCAGGUCUGACUUUCUCAGUUGCAGAAAGUAUCUCAGGACACAAUAAACACAGAAUUGAGGAAACAGAAACAUUUUUUGUCUUUUUUUAAUUCUCUAAUGGUAAACAAAAUAACACUUCCUGAUAAGAGUUCUUUUCUUUUGCAACAAGAAAGAGAAGGGGAGGGGGGGCAGGUGGGGGAGGGGAAGGAAGUGGAGGGAGGGAGGAGAGGGGGGGAAGGGGGAGGGGAGGGGAAUGGAGGGAGAAAGAGACAGAAAGGAAGAAAGGAAGAGGAAGGAAGAGAAAGGGAGGAGAAAAAGAAAGAAAGAAAGAAAGAAAGAAAGAGAGAGAGAGAGAGAGAGAGAGAGAGAGAGAGAAAGAAAGAAAGAAAGAAAGAAAGAAAGAAAGAAAGAAAGAAAGAAAGAAAGAAAGAAAGAAAGAAAGAAAAGAAAGAAAGAAAGAAAGAAAGAAAGAAAGAAAGAAAGAAAGAAAGAAAGAAAGAAAGAACUGUUGCUGGGAGGGUAAACAAUUUCACUACAGGAUGAGACCCAUCCUUCAGUGAAACAGCAUAUCAGAAGAGUGCAGCAGGAGUGGCUCAUCUGAGCAAUCAGAGCUGGCUGCACUGUAGCAACCAAUAUAAAAGUUCUCUUGCUUUGUUAUUUGUCAAGGAGAAAGAAUAUCUACUGAUAGUUGUAUUUACUUGCAGAUCUCCUUGGAAGGGAAUAAGUAUCUGAGGAAGUGACACAUCUCCUUUACCCCAAGUACUAAACAUGUUGAUCUGAAACACAAACACAUCUGGUCCAGUGAACUCUGUCCAUAUUUUGUGCUUCUAAAUGAGCCAUAAUUCCAUACUGAAAUAUGCUGAUUCCUUUGGACUUCUGAAGAACAAAAUACAUCUCCUAUUUCUGCCUACACCUUUAGGUUCCUUCUGAGUAAGAUUAUCACCUAUGACUGCCUUAGAGUUAUCAGAACAGCUCCACUUCUGAUAAGACCAGCAAAAAUACUGCUGUGGGCAAAACAUGGACAGCCACGAGGGGUUUUAUUGUUAAACUUUCAGAUUGUACAGAGUCAGAUAACUAAGCAAGAGAACACCUUGUCUGCACCACCAUUGCUACCUCUCACAAAGUUGCACCAGUGGUGAAAAAGCGAGUGGUGCUAUGCCCUAAAGGGCAAAAAGAAAGAAAAAGUAAAAAAGAAUGUUGAUAAUGCUCAUGGAGCGGCCUCCAUUUAUGAAGGCUAUCCACAAAACAAUACAAUGCAAAAAAAGAGACAGAGAAUGAAACAAGCAGUAGAUCAAACACAUAUGAGGAGAUUAAAAACAUAUGAAGAGAUCUAAUCUAAUAGAGAGAAGACAAGACUGUUCUUUCACUGUUCAGCACUGUCUUGAGAUGAUUGAGCCCUUUCAGGCUGAAACACCACAGGCCAGUUUACAUUCCCAUUAACGGACAGAAAGAAACCAGAAGAAUUUGUAGAUCAGUAAUCACAUGUGUUUGCAGGUACUGCAGAUCUCCAUGCAGGUGACGUGCAGGCGAAAAAUAUGCCCUUUGUUAAAAGUAGACUGCUGCAGAUGGCCACUGAAAAUGGAUGAAGAAAAUACAACGUAGCAAAAUGGUAAUUUAGGCUGAGGAAGUAUAAAGGAGCAUCUGCUUUUAGAUAAGGUAUUGAAGUGUGAAAUCGUUUUCCCAAGAGAGUCAGGAGUCUGAGUGCCUGGGCUCCAGUGACAGACACUUUAAUAACGAGAUUGGAUCAGGCAGGGAAGAAGAAAGCAGCUGAUGUGUUCCAGGGCAGAGUGUUACUUCCCGUGCGAAAGCGUUCAGGUGCUUUUUUGUCCUUUAAGCGCUACCACAGUAGGUCAAAUACAACAUUCAUAUAUUGGCAAAUACAGAACAAAAGAAACACUCUCACACACACAAACAUGGUUAGAAAUGCAUUUGUAAUACUCUAGGAAAGUACAAAAAAACAACAACUGUGCUUAAGUUACUACUGUGAAAGCCUAGCUCCUUUCUCCACACUUGACCAAUAAGCCAAUGGCUUCCUGCUCCCUGCUACCUCAUAGGCACCCUUCCUCCCGGUCUCAUAAUGGUUCACUAGUAAUGCUGUGGCAGGGGCCAGGAUGCCUUCUCCACGCCAUAUAGCUUUCCCAAAGGCAGUAGUGUAGCAGGAGCACUGCCAGGAGCCCGCAGGGCAGUUCUGGGCACAACUGGGGCUCAGGGCGGCCGCGUGGGGGACAACGACCGCAUGGCUGCGCGGGGCUGCCGCCCAGCAGGGCCCCAGCAGCCCGCC